UGGAUGCCCUGGCAGUCAGAGGCGAUGAAGGACGUGCUAAUCUGCGAUAAGCGUCGGUGAGGUGAUAUGAACCGUUAUAACCGGCGAUUUCCGAAUGGGGAAACCCAGUGUGUUUCGACACACUAUCAUUAACUGAAUCCAUAGGUUAAUGAGGCGAACCGGGGGAACUGAAACAUCUAAGUACCCCGAGGAAAAGAAAUCAACCGAGAUUCCCCCAGUAGCGGCGAGCGAACGGGGAGGAGCCCAGAGCCUGAAUCAGUGUGUGUGUUAGUGGAAGCGUCUGGAAAGGCGCGCGAUACAGGGUGACAGCCCCGUACACAAAAAUGCACAUGCUGUGAGCUCGAUGAGUAGGGCGGGACACGUGGUAUCCUGUCUGAAUAUGGGGGGACCAUCCUCCAAGGCUAAAUACUCCUGACUGACCGAUAGUGAACCAGUACCGUGAGGGAAAGGCGAAAAGAACCCCGGCGAGGGGAGUGAAAAAGAACCUGAAACCGUGUACGUACAAGCAGUGGGAGCCUCUUAAUGGGGUGACUGCGUACCUUUUGUAUAAUGGGUCAGCGACUUAUAUUCUGUAGCAAGGUUAACCGAAUAGGGGAGCCGAAGGGAAACCGAGUCUUAACUGGGCGUUAAGUUGCAGGGUAUAGACCCGAAACCCGGUGAUCUAGCCAUGGGCAGGUUGAAGGUUGGGUAACACUAACUGGAGGACCGAACCGACUAAUGUUGAAAAAUUAGCGGAUGACUUGUGGCUGGGGGUGAAAGGCCAAUCAAACCGGGAGAUAGCUGGUUCUCCCCGAAAGCUAUUUAGGUAGCGCCUCGUGAAUUCAUCUCCGGGGGUAGAGCACUGUUUCGGCAAGGGGGUCAUCCCGACUUACCAACCCGAUGCAAACUGCGAAUACCGGAGAAUGUUAUCACGGGAGACACACGGCGGGUGCUAACGUCCGUCGUGAAGAGGGAAACAACCCAGACCGCCAGCUAAGGUCCCAAAGUCAUGGUUAAGUGGGAAACGAUGUGGGAAGGCCCAGACAGCCAGGAUGUUGGCUUAGAAGCAGCCAUCAUUUAAAGAAAGCGUAAUAGCUCACUGGUCGAGUCGGCCUGCGCGGAAGAUGUAACGGGGCUAAACCAUGCACCGAAGCUGCGGCAGCGACACUAUGUGUUGUUGGGUAGGGGAGCGUUCUGUAAGCCUGUGAAGGUGGCCUGUGAGGGUUGCUGGAGGUAUCAGAAGUGCGAAUGCUGACAUAAGUAACGAUAAAGCGGGUGAAAAGCCCGCUCGCCGGAAGACCAAGGGUUCCUGUCCAACGUUAAUCGGGGCAGGGUGAGUCGACCCCUAAGGCGAGGCCGAAAGGCGUAGUCGAUGGGAAACAGGUUAAUAUUCCUGUACUUGGUGUUACUGCGAAGGGGGGACGGAGAAGGCUAUGUUGGCCGGGCGACGGUUGUCCCGGUUUAAGCGUGUAGGCUGGUUUUCCAGGCAAAUCCGGAAAACCAAGGCUGAGGCGUGAUGACGAGGCACUACGGUGCUGAAGUGACAAAUGCCCUGCUUCCAGGAAAAGCCUCUAAGCAUCAGGUAACAUCAAAUCGUACCCCAAACCGACACAGGUGGUCAGGUAGAGAAUACCAAGGCGCUUGAGAGAACUCGGGUGAAGGAACUAGGCAAAAUGGUGCCGUAACUUCGGGAGAAGGCACGCUGAUAUGUAGGUGAAGCGACUUGCUCGUGGAGCUGAAAUCAGUCGAAGAUACCAGCUGGCUGCAACUGUUUAUUAAAAACACAGCACUGUGCAAACACGAAAGUGGACGUAUACGGUGUGACGCCUGCCCGGUGCCGGAAGGUUAAUUGAUGGGGUUAGCGGUAACGCGAAGCUCUUGAUCGAAGCCCCGGUAAACGGCGGCCGUAACUAUAACGGUCCUAAGGUAGCGAAAUUCCUUGUCGGGUAAGUUCCGACCUGCACGAAUGGCGUAAUGAUGGCCAGGCUGUCUCCACCCGAGACUCAGUGAAAUUGAACUCGCUGUGAAGAUGCAGUGUACCCGCGGCAAGACGGAAAGACCCCGUGAACCUUUACUAUAGCUUGACACUGAACAUUGAGCCUUGAUGUGUAGGAUAGGUGGGAGGCUUUGAAGUGUGGACGCCAGUCUGCAUGGAGCCGACCUUGAAAUACCACCCUUUAAUGUUUGAUGUUCUAACGUUGGCCCCUAAUCGGGGUUGCGGACAGUGUCUGGUGGGUAGUUUGACUGGGGCGGUCUCCUCCUAAAGAGUAACGGAGGAGCACGAAGGUUGGCUAAUCCUGGUCGGACAUCAGGAGGUUAGUGCAAUGGCAUAAGCCAGCUUGACUGCGAGCGUGACGGCGCGAGCAGGUGCGAAAGCAGGUCAUAGUGAUCCGGUGGUUCUGAAUGGAAGGGCCAUCGCUCAACGGAUAAAAGGUACUCCGGGGAUAACAGGCUGAUACCGCCCAAGAGUUCAUAUCGACGGCGGUGUUUGGCACCUCGAUGUCGGCUCAUCACAUCCUGGGGCUGAAGUAGGUCCCAAGGGUAUGG
rnacentral:rRNA from 1 species